rnacentral:rRNA from 1 species
AAGCGGGAAGAGCUCAAAUUUAUAAUCUGGCACCUUCGGUGUCCGAGUUGUAAUCUCUAGAAAUGUUUUCCGCGCUGGACCGCACACAAGUCUGUUGGAAUACAGCGGCAUAGUGGUGAGACCCCCGUAUAUGGUGCGGACGCCCAGCGCUUUGUGAUACAUUUUCGAAGAGUCGAGUUGUUUGGGAAUGCAGCUCAAAUUGGGUGGUAAAUUCCAUCUAAAGCUAAAUAUUGGCGAGAGACCGAUAGCGAACAAGUACCGUGAGGGAAAGAUGAAAAGCACUUUGGAAAGAGAGUUAACAGUACGUGAAAUUGUUGGAAGGGAAACGCUUGAAGUCAGACUUGCUUGCCGAGCAAUCGGUUUGCAGGCCAGCAUCAGUUUUCCGGGAUGGAUAAUGGUAGAGAGAAGGUAGCAGUUUCGGCUGUGUUAUAGCUCUCUGCUGGAUACAUCUUGGGGGACUGAGGAACGCAGUGUGCCUUUGGCGGGGGUUUCGACCUCUUCACACUUAGGAUGCUGGUGGAAUGGCUUUAAACGACCCGUCUUGAAACACGGACCAAGGAGUCUAACAUGCUUGCGAGUAUUUGGGUGUCAAACCCGGAUGCGUAAUGAAAGUGAAUGGAGGUGGGAACCGCAAGGUGCACCAUCGACCGAUCUGGAUUUUUAAUGAUGGAUUUGAGUAAGAGCACGUAUGUUGGGACCCGAAAGAUGGUGAACUAUGCCUGAAUAGGGCGAAGCCAGAGGAAACUCUGGUGGAGGCUCGUAGCGGUUCUGACGUGCAAAUCGAUCGUCAAAUUUGGGUAUAGGGGCGAAAGACUAAUCGAACCAUCUAGUAGCUGGUUCCUGCC